rnacentral:rRNA from 1 species
UCAGUCCAGGUAGUCGCCUUCGCCACUGGUGUUCCUUCCUAUAUCUACGCAUUUCACCGCUACACAGGAAAUUCCACUACCCUCUACCGUACUCUAGCUCGCCAGUUUUGGAUGCAGUUCCCAGGUUGAGCCCGGGGCUUUCACAUCCAACUUAACGAACCACCUACGCGCGCUUUACGCCCAGUAAUUCCGAUUAACGCUUGCACCCUUCGUAUUACCGCGGCUGCUGGCACGAAGUUAGCCGGUGCUUAUUCUGUUGGUAACGUCAAAACCGCAGGAUAUUAGCCUACAGCCCUUCCUCCCAACUUAAAGUGCUUUACAAUCCGAAGACCUUCUUCACACACGCGGCAUGGCUGGAUCAGGCUUUCGCCCAUUGUCCAAUAUUCCCCACUGCUGCCUCCCGUAGGAGUCUGGACCGUGUCUCAGUUCCAGUGUGACUGAUCAUCCUCUCAGACCAGUUACGGAUCGUCGCCUUGGUGAGCCAUUACCUCACCAACUAGCUAAUCCGACCUAGGCUCAUCUGAUAGCGCAAGGCCCGAAGGUCCCCUGCUUUCUCCCGUAGGACGUACGCGGUAUUAGCGUUCCUUUCGGAACGUUAUCCCCCACUACCAGGCAGAUUCCUAGGCAUUACUCACCCGUCCGCCGCUGAAUCCAGGAGCAAGCUCCCUUCAUCCGCUCGACUUGCAUGUGUUAGGCCUG